rnacentral:rRNA from 1 species
GUUGUAUAGUUAAGUGACUAAGCGUACACGGUGGAUGCCUUGGCAAUCAGAGGCGAAGAAGGACGUGCUAAUCUGCGAAAAGCGUGGGGGAGCUGAUAAGGAGCGCWAAUCCCACGAURUCCGAAUGGGGAAACCCGAUAGAUGAAGAAUCUAUCAUUGUUGUCUGAAUUCAUAGGGCAACAAGGCAAACCGGGAGAACUGAAACAUCUAAGUACCCCGAGGAAAAGAAAUCAACCGAGAUUCUGCGAGUAGCGGCGAGCGAAAGCGGAGGAGCCAGCGAGUGAUAGCAUAAGUUUUAGGAGAAUUGUCUGGGAAGGCAAGCGAGAGAGGGUGACAGCCCCGUAUCCGAAAAGACGGAUGUGGUAC